GUUUGAGCCAGAGAUAUCUCAAGAUCAUAAGGAUCCUUAGAGAACAAGUGGAGAGCCUGAAUGCGACCAAAAAUGAGCUGGGUGUGGAUGACGACACACUGCAGCAAUGGGUGGCCGAUGUGCAGAAAUGGGCUGAAGAAACUGAUCAAACUGAUGGCAGCCUUGGAGCGUUGCAGGCACGAAUAGAGGAGCUUGUCGUCAUCAUCAGAGUGCGAACACAAAGUCUUUACAGACAAAAUGAUAGCAACAAGAGGCGACACAGAAUUCGCA